rnacentral:rRNA from 1 species
UACGGGAGGCAGCAGUAAGGAAUAUUGCGCAAUGGGCGAAAGCCUGACGCAGCGACGCCGCGUGGGGGAUGAAGGUCUUCGGAUUGUAAACCCCUUUCGGGAGGGAAGAUGGAGCGAGCAAUCGUUCGGACGGUACCUCCAGAAGCAGCCACGGCCAACUUCGUGCCAGCAGCCGCGGUAAUACGAAGGUGGCAAGCGUUGUUCGGAUUCACUGGGCGUACAGGGUGUGUAGGCGGUUUGGUAAGCCUUCUGUUAAAGCUUCGGGCCCAACCCGGAAAGCGCAGAGGGUACUGCCAGGCUAGAGGGUGGGAGAGGAGCGCGGAAUUCCCGGUGUAGCGGUGAAAUGCGUAGAGAUCGGGAGGAAGGCCGGUGGCGAAGGCGGCGCUCUGGAACAUGCCUGACGCUGAGACACGAAAGCGUGGGGAGCAAACAGGAUUAGAUACCCUGGUAGUCCACGCCCUAAACUAUGGAUACUAAGUGUCGGCGGGUUACCGCCGGUGCCGCAGCUAACGCA